UAUUUUCAUAUGUAGAUUGGAACAAGCACCAGGCUGAAUGCCCUGAGCUUUCUACAUGCAUGAUUGCUCUUUCUACAUGCAUGAUUGCUCGAGGAGCACUAAUUAAGCCUUGGAGUUUUACUGAAAUAAAGGAGCAGAGGCACUGGGACAUAAGUUCUGGGGAGCGAUUAAAUAUAUUGAAGGAUUACGUACGUCUUGGCCUUGAACAUUGGGGCUCUGACACAAAAGGUGUGGAGACAGGUGUUUUCUGUUAGAAUGGCUUAGCUACACUUGUAGAUAUGUACCUGUUGGUCUUCUAGAUGUCAUUUCACAACGGUUGAACUGGCGCCCCGCCAUCCUAUUAUGCCCGUGAUGACCUUGAG